GAUGAGGACAUCGAACCACCAAGUCAUAUUAUUCAAGCUCCCUAUGUACCAAGCGGCCCAAUGACUAGGACCAGGAGAAAAGGCCUAGAGAAGAAGUUCAACAUCUUCGUGGAACAGCUGGAACGUGAAGGACUGAUCCCUCUAGAUCAGUUUGAAGCCAUUCGCCUAACUUCAUCCGAGAGCUCCCAGCUAAAGGCCGUUUUAAACGAAGUACCACCAACGACUCCGGAUGAUACAGGAAACGAGCCACAUACCAAAUUGAAGCUCUCUAAGUCUACUCUCCAGAGAACCAAAGAGCUUCUAUAGAUCAACUAUACAUCUCCAGAUAUGGGCCGAACAGCAAGUGUCUGUCUGGUGGACUCUCUAAUAAACAAUGAGGCCAAAUGGGCUUUAUUCACCCCCAAACUUGAAGUCCACUUAAGCACGUGUUCUUUGGUGCUAGAAGGCAUCUAAGAAGGCUCUCAUUUCGUCCAGAAGACUCCAAGACCAAAGAAGAAUCAUGUUUUAAAGUCAAGAGAACAAACUUACCUUAAUCGGCACCCUUGAUAUUCUCUUUUAUUACCAACGUCUCUUUCCUUUAUUUUCUUGAUUUU
rnacentral:lncRNA from 1 species